rnacentral:rRNA from 1 species
UACGGGGGGGGCAAGCGUUGUUCGGAAUUACUGGGCGUAAAGGGCUCGUAGGCGGCCAACUAAGUCAGACGUGAAAUCCCCAGGCUCAACCUGGGAACUGCGUCUGAUACUGGAUGGCUUGAAUCCGGGAGAGGGAUGCAGAAUUCCAGGUGUAGCGGUGAAAUGCGUAGAUAUCAGGAGGAACACCGAUGGCGAAGGCAGUUCUCUGGGCCGUAACUGACGCUGAGGAGCGAAAGCGUGGGGAGCGAACAGG